rnacentral:misc_RNA from 1 species
AAAGUCGUAACAAGGUCUCCGUAGGUGAACCUGCGGAGGGAUCAUUAACAAAUCUACAACAUAUGCUAUGUGCAACCGUGGUGUGUCCCAGCAAGUCACGUCGAGUUAGCCGUGGGGAAGGCUCUUGGCUGGCUGGCUGGGACCACCGACCAACAACACACACUAUUACAAUCAGAUCGUUGAAAAGGAAUGGGGACACCUAGACAACUUUUAACAAUGGAUCUCUAGGCUCUU